UCGGUGGUGUAGGAGGGGUGAUGAAAAGAAUCUCUUGUUUUCAUUGGUAGAACAGAUUCUUUUUAUGACUUCUAAGGCAGAUGAAUUAGAAAUGUCUGAGUUCGACUCAUUUUUUUUUACGGUUGAAAAUUUGAAUCCUCAGUGAACCAGGGGCGGAAAGAAUGAUGAAAUCCUCAAGAGUGUUACUGGUGAUCCUGUGGCUUCAGUUAACGUGGAUGAGGAGCCAACAGAAGGGAGUGGAGCAGAGUCCUGCAUCUCUGCAUGUUCCAGAGGGAGCCGUCGCCUCUCUCAACUGCACUUAUAGUGACAGGGCUUCUGAUUACUUCUCAUGGUACAGACAGUACCCCAGCAAAGGCCCUGAGUUGCUCCUGUACGGAUACAUGAAUAAUGACCAAGAGGAAGGAAGAUAUACAGCCCAGGUCAAUAAAGCCAAGCAGUACGUCUCCCUGCUCAUCAGAGACUCCCAGCCCAGCGACUCAGCCACCUACCUCUGUGCAGUGAGCACACAGUGCUCCCCAGGCACCUGCAGCCGGUACCCAAACCUGAUGGGGCCCCAGCACUGCCUGAUGGAGAGCUUAGGCUGCAGGGCACAGCAGUUCUGUUUGCUUUGUAGAUGA